CUCUUUUUAUUCUUUUAAUUUCUGCUGUUUUAAAAACCGCACCCAAGAUGCCUUUGCAGCUUCUCCUGGGGAGGCCCCUGCAGCAUCCGAAGGGGCCGCCGCACCAGCUACCCCAACCCCUGUAGCAGCAGCACUUGAUGCAUGUUCAGGAAAUGACCCCUUUGCCCCGUCUGAAGGUAGUGCAGAGGCUGCACCUGAGCUGGACCUCUUUGCAAUGAAGCCACCUGAGACCAGUGUUCCUGUAGUUACCCCUACAGCUAG
rnacentral:lncRNA from 10 species